UCCCAGGUUAACAAGUAGCGAUCAGAGCUAGAGGAACUCUAGAAGUUUUAUGUAAAUUUUAUGUGGUCUUUAAUCCCACAAUGAUUGAAUAGUUCAUUAAAACCUCCGCUCAUAUCGUUUGUUUACAUUACAAAUAGGAAAAAACUUGCCACAACCACCCCUAAGUCUGGUGUAUAGAUCCGGCGAUAUUAACUGCGACGAUCAAUUUUAUUUGAUCGAAGUAAUGGACAAUUUUGAGCAAACUUCUGAAUCGAAGAAGCAGACUCCUACGAGAGCGGGAUGGGUUACUCAAAAAAAGGAAAGAGGAAAAAAAAAGAUUAAACAUUUUUUAAAAGUCAGAAUGUUAGUAAAGGGAGGAAAAAAGAAGUCACAGAAUAAAAGUGCUUCUUCGAAACGUUUGCAGAGGUCAAAGGCUCCAAAACGUCGGUCAGCCUCACGUCGGAACAGGGGACACUUUGAAGAAGAAGUAUGCACGACUGCAGACAAAGCGGUCCAAGUACAAAUGCCUGUCAAGUGCACAUGCAAAGGCAAAGCACAAAAAUCAAAACUUCGCUUUAAACCUUCCCGGAUAUCUGUAUCCACAUCUUCAUUUCUAAUAAAUAGCUGCCCAUCUGGAACAAAGCCGUCAUCGUCUAAUGCAAAGUAAUUUACAAAAAAAAAAAUCUGUGUCUAUAUCAUUGGACAACUUUGUUCGAAGAGAAUUAGUGUCAUUUUUAAUAUCUGUACUACUAUACUCUUAUCUUUGGAGCCGUGUUGGGCGAUGAAAAAAUAAUAAUUAAAGAGUGAAAUGACAUGGGCGGGUUUUGAGGCUUGAAUUUGUGGAAACAAAUUUCCCUGACUUAAGAUUAUUUCGAAAAAGCUAUAUACAAAUCAUUUUGAAGAUUUAAACAAUUUUUUAAUGGUUUUAAGGUAAAAUCGUUGUCAAUUAUUUUCAAAAUCGAUUUGGCCGUAACCUCUAUUGAUUUUUAAGUCUUAUCUUUAUAAUAUUUAUAUAUAAAACGAAAAAUAUACAUAUAUAUGAAAAGCCAAUUGUAGGUUUAUAUUUUUUGUAUGACAACGAGACAUAACAAUUGUUAAUUGUAUUUUCAUUUACACAAAAACUCAAUUUUACUUAAAAAAAAUAUCAAUCAACCAUAUUAAUAAUCCUGAUAAAAUAUUUAAAACCUACAUUUGUAGGUACAGAUUGUUGCACAAGAUUCAUGUCUUUAUUGGAUAAAAAAAAAUUGGUUAUAGCCAUAUUAACUUUCUCAUAUAAAGUUCCAAUUUUCUCUAUCUCAAUAUGAAGAAAUAUAAAAAAUUAGAAGCAUUUGAUGUAAAGGAAGUGUAAUUGAAUUAAAAUUCCCAUUUCGUCUUCUUUUAAAAUAUCUAAAUGUUUAGUAUAGGAAAAUAUAUCCAAUAAGUAUUGAUGUCUAAUGUAAAAGUAGCAGUUAUUUCUUGGAGAUUUCUCAUAUUUGUUAUGACUGAAAGCAGGUGCAUCUUUACCAUUGUUAUUAUUUUAUACAAAAGACUUGGAGUGUACUAACGUUAAUAAAGUUUUUUUUUUUUUAAUCUAAGCAUGUUUGUUUUGAUAGUUUGUUUAACCAAGAGAACAAAGUCCACUGUUGAUUUUUUUGAAACUAAAUGCAUGUUAUAAUUAAUAACAUAGAAACAAAAAUGCUUAUUAUUAGAUGCACCUUCUUUUUAUUCAGAAUUAAAUUGUAUACCAUAAUCCAUACUGUAUUAUUAAUCAAUAAAAAUUCAAUGUCUCAAUAAUAA